AGUGUGCCGUUGCUGGCUCUGAGAAGUAGGAGCCUUGUGCAAGGAUUCAGGAGAGGCCUCUAGAAACUGAGGAUGGCCCUCAACUGGCAAGCACAGGCAACUGAAUUCGGCCAGGCAUCUGGGUCCUGUGCUAGGGGCUAGGAAGACAAAGAGAAACAGAGUCACAUCCUCCCACAAAAAUCCAUGAGAUGUCGGAGAGCCGAACUUGUAAACAGCCAUCAUCAACACAAAGAAGGAUGCACUGAUGCUCUCUAGAGGCUCACAGGAAAUGAUUCAUGGGCAUAGAGCAUGGCCAAUGAUGACCAGGGUUGCAGAGUUUUCCGUGGAGCUCCAGGACCCAGAAGCCAACUGCUGUAGCUCCUCGUUGAUGCUCUGUCUCCUGCAUGCCAGCUGCCCUCCAUCCCUUCCUGGGAGCCAUGGAUCAAAACUAUUACUGCUGUCUCUGGAGGCCAAACACCAGAGGCUGGUGUUUUGUUUUAGAAAAUACAGUUUAUCCCUUUUCAAUGACAAAAGAAAUAAUGUUCAUUAUAGCACAGUUGGAAAAAGCACCAAAGUUAAGAGCUCAUAGGAAAAUCAUCCCUAAUUCCAAGACCCAGACAACCCCUGUAAAAUUUUGACUCAUAUAUUACUCCUUUUUGUCUUCUUUUUUAAGGCAUAUUUUACAGUCUGUACCACAGCCUCUCUGUAUCUACAUACUUAGAUUUUCCACAUUAUAUAAUGGAUAUUUCCUAUGUUAUUAUAAAUUAUUCUUAAACAUUCUUUCAAUAGUUGUAUAAUAUUGAGGAUGACUAAAUCAUAAUAAAGAGAAGCUGCUAUUUUCUGCUUUCCACACACUAUUCCAAGCAAUGUACAUACAUUCUUCCCAUGUGACUCUAGCAAAAGCCCAGUGAGGUAGGAAUUAGUCUCAUCAUAUAAAUUGAUAAGAAAAUUGAGGCUCAAGGUUUUAGCAAUGUGUUUAACAAUGCUUAUUAAACAGCCAAAGCGGGAUUUAGACACAAGUUGGCUUGACUCCACUUUCCAUGCUUCUAAUCACUGCCUAAUUUCUCUAUUGCUGGACAUGGAGUUUACCUCCUCAUUUUUACUGUCGUGAAUACUGCAAGGCACAUCUUUGCACAGAACAUUUUAUUUCCCCUGUAUUUUCUUAUGAUAAAUUCACAGAACUGGAAAUACUAGAGCCAGGAAUUGAACAUUCAAAGAAACCCCACCAUUUUUGUUACUGCUAAUUUGUUUUCCGAAAAGGUUGUGCCAAUUUACAUCCCUUCCAGCACUAUAGGAGACAGCAGAUUUCCCCACACUCAGCACAGGACGGUCUACUCUGUGAACUUCCCUGCUAUUUAUGAUAGCUGGAAAUGGAUUGGUUUUUUUGUGUUUCUUUUUGCAUUUAUUUGAGUAUUAGUAAAGUUACACAUUUUUCCUUUUCUUUCCCCCCUUUUCCUCUUUUUCCUUUUUAGAAACAAGAUCUUGCUCUGUUGCCCAGGCUAGAGUGCAGUAGUGCAAUCAUAGCUCACUGCAGCCUUGAACUCCUGGGCUCAAAUGAUCCUCCCACCUCAGCCUCUCGGGUAGCUGAAACUACAGUCAUGUGCCACCACACCAGCCAAUUUUUCAAAAAGUUGUUGUAGAGACAGGGUCUUGCCAUGUUGCUCAAGCUGGUCUCAAACUCCUGGGCUCAAGUGAUCAUCUCACUUUGGCCUCCCCAAAAGUUUGUGGGAUUACAUGCAUGAGCCACUGUGCCUGGCUAAGUUACACAUUUUUCGAUGUUUCAAGUCGUUUGUAUUUUCUACUAAAAAUUUGGAGCCAUUUAUUUGUAAUGGUCUUAGUAUUUAAUUGAACCACGUGUAAUUAAAAUUUUUGUAAGUCAAACAUUGUUGAAUAUCAUCUCAGCCAAAUGUUUUUUCAAAUGCAUUAAGAAUAUUAAUUAAUUUAGAUACAUUGGCUAUAGAUAUUUUUGUUGAUGUUUUGAUAUAGAAGUUUUAAUUGCCAAAAUGAGCAUCCAAUCAUCUGGAAAUUCUCUGAGUAAUGAAGAUGGCAUGCUAAUGAUUGCCAUGGACUAUUUUUUAAAAAAAACUUUCCUGCUUUUGUGUUUUAUUUGUCCCUUUUGUUCUUCCUACUCUUCUCCUGACCCCUCAGGAUUGAAUCCAGAAAGAUGUAUUUUCAUGAGAUAGGUGAAGGCUGGGUAUCAAUUUUGGAGAAUAGGAAAUAUCAUUGGAAGAAUUACAGGUGCCAGUAACACAAGUUAAAACAGUACACCUUUAUUAUCCUUGAUGCCAUACACAACUAAAACUGUAGCCUGACAGCAUUUGGGGCAUAGCUUUAGCUGUAGCAACUAAGAAGAUCUUUAAGGGGUGAUCAUGGCUUAAGUGUGCACAUAUGCCCUGCGUGACACUCACAUACGUUGCCUCAGCGGAGAACUCACUGGCUGUGUCUUACUCUGAGCCAAACAAAGACAACGCCAGCCCAUCUGGCUCUGAAACAAUUUAAUAUCUUCUCUUUCCUGUAGGUAGACAGAGAACCAUUUGAAAGUUAACUAUCAUGACUGCAUAUUGCACACACAUUUUUAAACUUCUAAAAAAAAGAGAGAGAGAAUGGCUACAAUGAAGAGCGUCAAGUCCGCUUGUCAAAUCUUGUGGUAAGAGGACGAGAAAUGCUACUUCAGUAGCCACGAGUAUUUCUGAGAUCGCUAAGUAGCACUUGCUUUUAACAUCUGCUGUUCAAGACCCUCAUUUGUAGCAGCCUUUUCUGUUUGCUUCUGUUCACAUGCGGAGGCAGGUGGGGUCAGAUCCAGUUCAGGUUUCUUGAGCCUCUGAUUAAAAUGAUUCACACCAAAUCUCCCUUGGCCCCAAAUACAUCUUCACAUCAAAUACUGGUUAUCUCCUAUAAAACUGGGAAGCAAAUCUAGGCUCCUUCAGUG